GCAUAUUGAGUUGGUUUAAUUUAUUUGAAUUAAAUAGAGAUAUUAUAAUACUAGGUCUUAUUGGGCCUAAUAAUUAAAUUAGAGGUAUCAUCAUUUAAGCCCAAAUAUAAUACUAGGAUAUAAGAAGUGAGGAGAGUGAGAAGUAGGAUUCAUUUAAUCAUUUGACGACAACAGAGAAAGAAAAGAGGAAAAGUAAGGAGAAGAGGGGAAGAACAAGAGAGAAGCUAAGGUUUCCAAAAAAUUGAAGAGGUAAGGGGGAGAAUCCUUAUUAUUAUG
rnacentral:lncRNA from 1 species